CGGCGUUUACGGAUGGUAAAUAUUAAGAUUAUGCUGCACUACAAGUCUUUCCGGCCUACUUAAAACGCUUUCCAGACGAGUUCUGAAGUGAGUCGGAUUAAUAUUUCGUAAUGCGACGGAAGAAGUCCACACUUUCGCUCCAUAGACCCAAACAAAAACGAACUGGAAAGCAAAAUUGUUUUCUCCAGCAAAAUGCCAUACACAAGUAAUUCUCGAAUGAUUGACACCAUUUCUAUCUCCUAUGAAAUGACCAUUCCGUUCCCCUCUC